AACGAACGCUGGCGGCGUGCCUAACACAUGCAAGUCGAACGGAGUUGUCACCAUGAAGUUUUCGGAUGGAUUGGUAACAACUUAGUGGCGGACGGGUGAGUAACGCGUGGGUAACCUGCCUCAUACUGGGGGAUAACAGCUGGAAACGGCUGCUAAAACCGCAUAAGAUCGCAUCACCGCAUGGUGAAGCGGUUAAAUAUCGAAAGAUAGGUAUGAGAUGGGCCCGCGUCUGAUUAGCUAGUUGGUGAGAUAAGAGCCCACCAAGGCGACGAUCCGUAGCUGGUCUGAGAGGAUGAUCAGCCACACUGGAACUGAGACACGGUCCAGACUCCUACGGGAGGCAGCAGUAGGGAAUAUUGGACAAUGGGCGCAAGCCUGAUCCAGCCAUGCCGCGUGAGUGAAGAAGGCCCUCGGGUUGUAAAGCUCUUUUGUCCGGAAAGAAAAGCGCCGGGUUAAUACCCUGGUGUCCUGACGGUACCGGAAGAAUAAGCACCGGCUAA
rnacentral:rRNA from 1 species